rnacentral:lncRNA from 1 species
CGAAGGUGCCCGAGUGACGUCACACUUGUUUUACUUUCCUCCUGACCGCUAAUCUUCCUGGAAUCUUUUCUGUUCCAUUUGGAACUUUGAUUUCUCUUCAAUCUGGAAAUAUUUGUCUUGUUUUUUCACUGAAAAUUGUUUAUAAGUUUGUGCUUUUAUGAAUACAUAUUACUUAAAAUGAAUUUCGACGAGUAACGAUUGUAAACAAACAGUUUUCUGUAUAUGAGAGAAGUGAAUAUGGACUGCCGUGAAAAUAUCCAAAAGUUAGUUUUUGUUUUUAUUGAUAAAUCACUGAAAUUGAAAGAAUUGUGAAAGAAGUCAACAGAAGAAUUUCCAGUCGUAAAUUCUCGAAGUUGCUGUUUAUCCUCCACCGAAAAAGUAAGAAUUUAUUAAUAUUAUUGUCAAACCAUUUAUCUUCUUAAGUUUUGUGUCAAUUAUGAUGUAUAGGGAUAAAUAUAUUGAUUCUUAAACAAGAGACCUUUUUCUACCACUCAUCUACACACACACCUUUAAAAAUAAGUCUAUUACUUCAAAUGUUAAUGGUUUCUGUUAAGACUCAGCAAUUUUUAAACGAGUUCUUGACUAGCAUUUGGUUUGUCAACUUUUAAAAUAACUUUCAGUUCUUUAGACAUUCACAUGAUUAACAAGGCUAACGUGGGGUGGCUAGAAAUAGCAGUCAAAUUACUCUCAGAUCCAUACAAGAUCAUGCAAUUGUUCAGUCUUGGAGCCCAAUAACAAAUCAACUUAGUUGUUUAUGAAAGAAGUCGAUAUUUAGAGAGUGAAAACGUGUUUUUCUCUCUUUUUUGCUGGAGCACCGACUUUGGUCGAGCAAAUCGACCCCAGGACUUAUUCUUUGUAAGCCUAGUACUUAUUCUAUCGGUCUCUAUUGCCGUAAACACAACGCACUCACACACACACACACACACACACACACACACACACACACACAUAUAUAUAUAUAUAUAUAUAUAUAUAUAUAUAUAUAAACGACGGGCUUCUUCAGUUUCCGUCUACCAAAUCCACUCACAAGACUAUAGUAGAAGAUACUUGCCCAAGGUACCAUGCAGUGGGAUAGAACCCGGAACCAUGUGGUUCGUAAGCAAGCUACUUACCACACAGCCACUCAUAUAUAUACACAUACACACGACUGGUUUUAUUAAUUUUCCAGGAGGGUGGACUGCUAAAAAAUGCAGUGAAAUCUGGAUAUGCUAGAAACAGCAGUCAAAUCUCUUAUAUGGAAAUUUUCAUGUGUAUGUGUGAGUGUGCGUGUGUGCUAGUCACCCACCCCCACAUUCGCUUGACAACCGAUGUCGGUGUGUUUAUGUCGACGAAGCUGAGCGCCUUGGCAAAAAGUGACCGAUGGAAUAAGUACUAGGCUUACAAGGAAUAAGUCCUGGGAUCGAUUUGUUUCGACUAAAGGCGGUGCUCCAGCAUAGCCGCAGUCAACAUGUGGGAAAAAAGUCAAAACUGAAGAAGUUGGGUGGGGAAAGGCGGGGACAAAGUUUCACAAUGCCGAUUUUUGGCAAUUUUCCGAAAACGUGGAUUUUUGGCAGACACAAUUACGAAUUAAUUUACACCGAGGAAAUACGGAACUAUGGUGGCUGAAAAUUGAUGUCUGACUUUUCGCAAAGCAUUGUGGGAUUGUCGUCUGUAUGAUUUGAAUGGCGCGAGAUUCAGUUUUUUAUUGAAUAUUGGUCCUGCAGAGUGAAAGAAGUAAGUAAGAAAUUAUUAUUAGACUGGAGAAUGAUACUCCACAUCCCCAUUAAGGACUUUUUCGUUUUCAAUGUACUCGAGUGUUGUUGUUUAUGUUAUUGUUGUGAAGUGUGGUUGCAUGUUCGAAAUGUAAUUAGAUAAGUUGUCAACAGACAUUCUAACUGAUUUGUCAGUCGAGAAGCAUACAAUCUCUCUAUUUUUUAAUUUGUUAUGGCCUUUCUUAAUUUUGGUGUCAAGAUCACGGGUCUUAUUUUUUGUUCGUUUUUGUUUAUGCCUUUGGGUGUAAUUAGAGAAAGCUGACAGGAGUUUGGAUUUAGUAAGGGUAAACUUUGCUGUACUGGAACGAAAACAAUUGCAGCAUGGAAGGUGUUUAUAAGCCAUUUAAGAAACACACAAAAAGCGUUAGAUUCACUUUAAUAUUUAAAUUUAAUUUGUCAAAAUAUUUUCGUUGUUUUGAGACUGCGACUUCACUGACAAAAUUCCGUGCUGCAUCUGAGAAAGUAACAGUUAGUUCAUGAUAUAUAUGUACGUACGUAUGUAUGUAUGUAUAUGUGUACAUGUAUGUGCGCAUGCCUAUACGCAUGUAUGUAUGUACUUAUGUACUUGUGAGUAUUUAGGAGAAAUAGACGUGUCUGUGUGUGUACAUGUGUAUGUACUUGCGAACGUAUGUUUAUGUAAUAUGUGUCAGUUCAAUUUGUAUACUUGACUGUUACCUUGCCACUCGCUAUGCAAGUACAUCUCUUUCUCUCUCUCUCUCUUUAUAUAUAUAUAUAUAUAUAUAGAGAGAGAGAGAGAGAGAGAAGCAGAUUGUAACAUAGAUAAAUAUAUAGACAGAAAUAGAUAGUCAGAAGAAUAGACAUACCAACUACCAAACACCUAGAAAGAUAGACUGCUUGAUAGCUCGAUAGAUAUAUAGAUAGAUGCUUAUGUUUUUUUAUUGCUACUCAUCACUCAUUUUGUCCAUUUUAUGUUUCUCACCUGUACUGCCCUUUGUAAAGAAUUAGCAAACAGCUGUUUUGCAAUAAAGGCUUGAAUGGAUUGAGAGCCAUAUGAUAAACUGGUGAAGGAAGCAUGGAUUUAAACUCUGCCUUAUUAAUUGCUCAUUGGUGAAAUAGCAUAAAAAAUAUUGUUUAUGGUUAAGAUUUCUUAAUCAAUAUCAGUUUCUAUAUUAGUGUAUGCAUCUUUAGUGAAAUGAUGAUGAACUCUCUUACAAUAUGACUAUGUGAAUUGCUGAAAUUAUGGUAUAUUGUAAAUUUCACGAAUAUUUGAAUGACAGGAAAGCUAUCCUGUUUCCUAACAUGCAGAUUUAUUUUUCCCAAGUCAUUUGAUUAAUUGGUCAUGUUUGUAAAACAGGGGAAUGCCUCAAAUUUUAGAGGAAGUGGUUAAUUGAUUAAAUUGAUCUUAUUACUUGACUUGCACUUUUUUUAUCAACCAUGAAAGGAAGAGAAACAAAGUUAGCCUCAACAGGAUUUGAAACUAGAAUAUAAAGAGCUGGUAGAAAUAUUGGAAGGUAUUUUGCCAACACUCUAACAAUUGUGCCUCUCCACCAUCUUAAGUUUAAUAGAAUAAAAUCUGUGAAUGAAUUUUGAUGAAUUUCUUGUGUAGUUUUAAUGAAAGUUGGUCUCACAUUGCUUGCAUUUAUAUCUUUCCUGAGACAUGUAAAAGUUUCCAUUUGUAUAAUACUUGGCUGCUUGUCACUUCAAAUAAAGAGUAUUGAACUGAUAUUAAAGCCAAAAUUUUCCUUUCGCUACUAUUAGGAUGUUUUUCAUUUUUACUUUCAGGGUUAAAAAAUGAAUGAUUACACUUAUUGGUUUACAUGCGAACUUUUGUUUAUUUUAUAUCCUUCUAUAUGUUGGAUAUGCAAAUUUCACGAAGUGGGGAUAGACACACUGUCUUCACACAACCUACUUCAGAUUACUCCACUAAACACAAUACUCUAAUAAAUAGAAACUCUGAACAAUGUCAACAACUUCCAUGAACUCCCAAUGACUCUCUUUGUCUCAACCAAUAUGCUAAUUUUUUUAUAAGAGUUUUGCUAGUCCAUUCUUCCAAUCCCAUAGGGGUGCCAAUGACUCUCACCACAACAGUUUAUACAUGUAUAAUU